rnacentral:rRNA from 1 species
AGCCCUUCGGGGUGGAUUAGUGGCGAACGGGUGAGUAACACGUGGGCAAUCUGCCCUUCACUCUGGGACAAGCCCUGGAAACGGGGUCUAAUACCGGAUAACACCGGCUUCCGCAUGGGAGCUGGUUAAAAGCUCCGGCGGUGAAGGAUGAGCCCGCGGCCUAUCAGCUUGUUGGUGGGGUAAUGGCCUACCAAGGCGACGACGGGUAGCCGGCCUGAGAGGGCGACCGGCCACACUGGGACUGAGACACGGCCCAGACUCCUACGGGAGGCAGCAGUGGGGAAUAUUGCACAAUGGGCGAAAGCCUGAUGCAGCGACGCCGCGUGAGGGAUGACGGCCUUCGGGUUGUAAACCUCUUUCAGCAGGGAAGAAGCGAAAGUGACGGUACCUGCAGAAGAAGCGCCGGCUAACUACGUGCCAGCAGCCGCGGUAAUACGUAGGGCGCAAGCGUUGUCCGGAAUUAUUGGGCGUAAAGAGCUCGUAGGCGGCUUGUCACGUCGGGUGUGAAAGCCCGGGGCUUAACCCCGGGUCUGCAUCCGAUACGGGCAGGCUAGAGUGUGGUAGGGGAGAUCGGAAUUCCUGGUGUAGCGGUGAAAUGCGCAGAUAUCAGGAGGAACACCGGUGGCGAAGGCGGAUCUCUGGGCCAUUACUGACGCUGAGGAGCGAAAGCGUGGGGAGCGAACAGGAUUAGAUACCCUGGUAGUCCACGCCGUAAACGUUGGGAACUAGGUGUUG